CACGUAGGAGGCGAGCGUUGUCCGGAAUCAUUGGGCGUAAAGAGCGUGUAGGCGGCCUGAUAAGUCGGCUGUGAAAGUCAAGGGCUCAACCCUUGAAUGCCGGCCGAUACUGUCAGGCUAGAGUCCGGAAGAGGCGAGUGGAAUUCCCGGUGUAGCGGUGAAAUGCGUAGAGAUCGGGAGGAACACCAGAGGCGAAGGCGGCGACCUGGACAAAUACUGACACUCAACUGCGAAAGCGUGGGGAGCAAACAGG
rnacentral:rRNA from 1 species